AGCAGCAUUUUUUUUUUUUUUUGAAAUCACCUCUAAGUUUGCAAGUGUUUCUACUAGACUGAGUUUUCUUAUCCACAUAUAAAUGCUACAAAGAUGUGUAACAAGCAACACAAAAAUAACGUUGAAUGCCUUUAGCUUUAUGAAGUGUUUUUUCUAUUUUCUACCAUGGAAACACAUUUUGACCCCUUACUAUUUACCUAAUUAACUAAAGAGAGAGAAAGCUAUGUAACCCACACUUUUAAACUGGUUCA
rnacentral:misc_RNA from 1 species